rnacentral:rRNA from 1 species
GGUGUGAAAUCACAAUCGCUCUCAAGAUUAAGCCAUSCAUGUCUUAGUAUAAGCACUAUACGGUGAAACUGCGAAUGGCUCAUUAAAUCAGUUAUCGUUUAUUUGAUAGUACCUUACUACAUGGAUAACCGUGGUAAUUCUAGAGCUAAUACAUGCUAAAAACCUCGACUUCGGAAGGGGUGUAUUUAUUAGAUAAAAAACCAAUGCCCUUUCGGGGCUCCUUGGUGAAUCAUAAUAACUUAACGAAUCGCAUGGCCUUGCGCCGGCGAUGGUUCAUUCAAAUUUCUGCCCUAUCAACUUUCGAUGGUAGGAUAGUGGCCUACCAUGGUAUCAACGGGUAACGGGGAAUUAGGGUUCGACUCCGGAGAGGGAGCCUGAGAAACGGCUACCACAUCCAAGGAAGGCAGCAGGCGCGCAAAUUACCCAAUCCCGACACGGGGAGGUAGUGACAAUAAAUACUGAUACAGGGCUCUUUUGGGUCUUGUAAUUGGAAUGAGUACAAUUUAAAUCCCUUAACGAGGAACAAUUGGAGGGCAAGUCUGGUGCCAGCAGCCGCGGUAAUUCCAGCUCCAAUAGCGUAUAUUAAAGUUGUUGCAGUUAAAAAGCUCGUAGUUGAACCUUGGGCCUGGCUGGCCGGUCCGCCUCACCGCGUGUACUGGUCCGGCCGGGCCUUUCCUUCUGGGGAACCUCAUGCCCUUCACUGGGCGUGUUGGGGAACCAGGACUUUUACUUUGAAAAAAUUAGAGUGUUCAAAGCAGGCCUUUGCUCGAAUACAUUAGCAUGGAAUAAUAGAAUAGGACGUGUGGUUCUAUUUUGUUGGUUUCUAGGACCGCCGUAAUGAUUAAUAGGGAUAGUCGGGGGCAUCAGUAUUCAAUCGUCAGAGGUGAAAUUCUUGGAUUGAUUGAAGACUAACUACUGCGAAAGCAUUUGCCAAGGAUGUUUUCAUUAAUCAGUGAACGAAAGUUAGGGGAUCGAAGACGAUCAGAUACCGUCGUAGUCUUAACCAUAAACUAUGCCGACUAGGGAUCGGACGGUGUUAGUAUUUUGACCCGUUCGGCACCUUACGAGAAAUCAAAGUUUUUGGKUCUGGGGGGGAGUAUGGUCGACAAGGCUGAAACUUAAGAAUAUUGAUACUGAGGGCAGA